CCUACGGGAGGCAGCAGUGGGGAAUAUUGGACAAUGGGGGCAACCCUGAUCCAGCCAUGCCGCGUGUGUGAAGAAGGCCCUCGGGUUGUAAAGCACUUUCAGUGAGGAAGAACGCCUGGUGGUUAAUACCCAUCAGGAAAGACAUCACUCACAGAAGAAGCACCGGCUAACUCCGUGCCAGCAGCCGCGGUAAUACGGAGGGUGCGAGCGUUAAUCGGAAUUACUGGGCGUAAAGCGCGCGUAGGUGGCUUGAUAAGCCGGUUGUGACAGCCCCGGGCUCAACCUGGGAACGGCAUCCGGAACUGUCAAGCUAGAGUGCAGGAGAGGAAGGUAGAAUUCCCGGUGUAGCGGUGAAAUGCGUAGAGAUCGGGAGGAAUACCAGUGGCGAAGGCGGCCUUCUGGACUGACACUGACACUGAGGUGCGAAAGCGUGGGUAGCAAACAGGAUUAGAUACCCUUGUAGUC
rnacentral:rRNA from 1 species